GGCAGCCAUUUAUGCCACUCUUUCGUGAUAACUGCCAUUCUAUCAAAUCAAAGAUCUCCAGAAUUGGAAAAAAAUUCUUCUGGGAGGUCUAAUCCAGCCUUUUUCUUAUCUAGUGAAAACAUUCAAGCCUGGAGAGGCAGAGACCACCCAAUCACAUCACUGUUGGCAAAGCCAGGAGUUAAAUCGGCUACUGACUCCCAGGAAUGCUCUCUUCCAUCAGAUUACCAGACUUCCUUGGACAUAUUCUCUGUUCUUCCACUUCCUUGUUCUUUAACAGAUCUCAGUCUUCAUUCAGGUAUUGCCUCAAGAAAUAAUUGCGUGAAUCUCCUCAUCCAAAUGCCUUUGAAGCAUAGUGUGAAAGCACCUGCAAGAUACCAUCCUAAAAAUAAAAUGAAUCUCAAAUAUUGCAUAUUGCAUUUAUUUGCCUAUUUACGUAAAAUUUUCCAUGUGAGUAGACUUUUAUCAUAUUAGCCUAUGUACCCCACUUCAUCAUCAAGACAAUGUGGGAUUUACAAUUCACAAUGUACAAUGGUGUUCGUUGAAAAAGAAUGUCUCAAGGCUGCUGUUUGGCCUGGCAGGUUAGCCACCAUUUAGGAUGCCACAUCUAAGUACCUGGGUUUCAUUCCUGGCUCCUGACUUACACUUGGCUUCUGAUUCCAUGUUCCCGGAAACACUGACUUGGACUUUAGGUGGCAACAAAGAUGGCUCAAAUAAUUGGAUUUCUGCUACUCUUGCGGGAGACCUGGAUUGAGUUCCUGGAUCUUGGAAUUGGCCCAGCCCAGUUCCAGAUGCUGAGGGCAUUUGGAAAGUGAAACAGCAGAUGGGAGCUCUCUCUAUCUCUCAGUAAAUAAGUAAAAGAUAAAAACAAAGAAAAAUAUUGUGUUUUUAACUUUGUGUCAAUUUUAUUAUAGUGGGGAUUUUUAUACAGUAUUUGCAUAUACUUAAAGUCUCUUAUAUUUUAUAUGUUAUUUUGUUUCUUUUUACAUCACUGAUGUAUUUUUCUAUAGAAAUUUUCAUUGAUCUAUAACUGCUCAUUAUAGAUUAAGAAUUAAUCUGUUUCCUAUCUAAUGUUCCAAUAUCUUUCUUUAGCAUGUCAUUUAUUUUUAAUUUGGGUAGUAUUUUUCUGACAAAAACUUAAAAAUUGUGUAGUGUAAUUUAUCUAAAUGUUAUGACAAUAAUUUUGCAUUAUAUUUAGAAAAGGCAUUUUUACUAUACUAGUAUGAAAUGGAAUAUGAUUAUAAUAUUUUAUGAUUUAAUUUUUCCUGUUUAAUUUUUUUUCAUCUUGAGUUUGUCCUGUUUAAACAGUGGUAAAGGAUUUUAAGAUUGCUCCUAUAGUUUUGCCUCGCAUAAAUGUAGCAAAUUUUUCAACUCUACUUAAAAAGAAUUUCUUUAGGUAUUAGAAUGUCACCUUUUAAAAAUAUAAAUAAAUUUCUACUGGACAUCUAUUCCUAGAUUCUU
ensembl:lncRNA